rfam:Burkholderia sp. CCGE1003 chromosome 1, complete sequence.
CCUGCUGUACGACCAGCAGUAGCCUAGGAAGACAUGCGUCACUGGCAACGGUGGGGUAUGAAGCUCUUCUGACAAUGUAGCCUCCGGAUUUUUCGGGCAGGUCCUUCCCGCGAGGGAUUGGUCUGGACACUCCUAGCAGCAAAGGGGUCGAGGAG